rnacentral:rRNA from 1 species
GGGGGGAGCAAGCGUUGUUCGGAUUUACUGGGCGUAAAGGGCGCGUAGGCGGCGUAACAAGUCACUUGUGAAAUCUCCGGGCUUAACCCGGAGCGGCCAAGUGAUACUGUUGUGCUAGAGUGCGGAAGGGGCUACUGGAAUUCUCGGUGUAGCGGUGAAAUGCGUAGAUAUCGAGAGGAACACCUGCAGCGAAGGCGGGUAKCUGGGCCGACACUGACGCUGAGGCGCGAAAGCCAGGGGAGCGAACGGGAUUAGAUACCCCGGUAGUCCUGGCCUUAAACGAUGGAUACUUGGUGUCCGGGGUUACAUAGUCCCCGGGUGCCGGCGCUAACGCAUUAAGUAUCCCGCCUGGGGAGUACGGUCGCAAGACUG